GGCCGCUGUUGCCACCUGCUGCCGGAGCGGGGACCGGGCCGGGCAGGCGGCGAGAGCCCCGCCGUGGGCGAGGGGCCCCGACCGCCCCGCCCGCGGAGGAGCGCGGAGCGGGCAGGAGCGAGGGAGGAGAAGCGGAGCGGCGGCUCAGAUGCCAAACUAGCUGCAGUGGAGUGAAAAUACUGCUGUAGAAGCCCUGACGAUAAGGGACUGAUGUCUGUGUCUCAAACGUGAACAGCCAGAUCGCUGUGCUGCCAACCAAGGAUCCUUGGUAAUGCUGGGAGAAGUAACAGGAUGUGGCUGGAGAAGGGGGCCUUACAGGGGCAGGGCAGCAGUUUUCUGGGACAGAAAUCCUUGUUCUAGGUCCUGGAGAUAAGUACAGCGUGGUACAGUGCACGUGCAGGAAUGAGGUGGAGAAAAAGGAUUACUGACCAAAAACCAACCCAGCAGAGGAGGAUCAAGACACCAGAGACCCCCCCCCCGAAGCUCUCCAACCCAUUUCCAGAAAGGUCUAGAGGAAUGAACUGUGCAUGAUAACUGAUUUGCAUAGAAAGCAAGAACCUUAUCUAUAAAUAAGUACCCCUGUGAAGCUCAGGUACACAUGUGCCAGGGCUCUGGACAUCCCAUUAGAUGGAUCAAUACUGGACCAAGGAGUGGUGAUCUUUGUCCCUCCCUCUCUUCAGUUUCUCUCACUCUACCUCUUUAUUCAGAACCCACCACUGUGUGCUUAUACUGGAAAAUAAGGGAAUAGCAUAUCAAUUUCCAUGACAAGUGAAUAAUUUGCUAAUAAAAUUCUGUAAGCUUUUACAGAC